AGGCCAUAUCACGUUGAAAUACUGGUUCUCUUAUGAUCACUAACAUUAAGCAACAUCAGGCAUGGUUAGUACCUAGAUGGGUGACUACUUGGGAAUAUCCAGGUGUUGUAAG